rnacentral:lncRNA from 1 species
GAAAGUAUUGAUCACAAAAAAGCCAAAAAGUGAGUACCGAAUCGGUACUGAAAUGGUUCAGUACGGUAUGUUCGAUAUCGGUACGUACUGGUUCGGUUUCGGUAUGUGGUAACAUGUGAAGUAGAUGAAACAUGAUAAAAAGGUCAUUGUCAAUGCUUAGCGAUCAAUACAGCUAUAAAGAAUUGGACCACUAGGCUAAAGCCCACUUCAUCCAAAGCUAUUUAAUGCACAAACUAUUUAAUAAAAAUAAAUUCAAUUUUAGAAAUAGAAAAUUGAGAAUACAACAGUUUGUCAAAUAAAAUUUUCUUGUUUAUGUAAAAGCAAAAAUACUGCCAAAUGAUGCAGAAACAAGAAUUGGAAGCACCACCACCCUGCUUCCUGUGUAUAAAUUUUGCUUUAAAGCUUCAGUUUCUGUAUACAUGCAGCCAAAAUUCCAGUGUAAAGACAACUACGCUAUUCAUGUAAACUCAAUUUAGUGAAACUAGAGCAACCCGUGUUGAAACGUUUACCUACAUACGGACUAUAUCCAACCCCAACGGGUUGAAUAGAUAAAGCUAAAAAAGUUUGGUCAAAAGUCACCAAAGUGUUUAUAAAUGUUCAUUACUUCGCAAAUCACUCAUUUCAAAAUAAUUAUUAUGCUACUAGUAUAUGAGUUGACCUGAAACUUUUUUUUCCAAAAACCAUCAUAUUUUUACAAACCAGGAUCAUAAGUCAUUAUUUCAAUAAACAAAUAUGAUUUUUUGGAUGUUAUAAUUUAUGAUUUCAUGCAUUAAAAAAUACAUUUUGGUGACUUACAACCGGAUUGAAAUGUUGCCUUUUUAGCUAAAUGUAGGAUUUUUAACUACGUGGGACGAGAGAUGACAUGCAGAACCACACAAGAAGUAUACUUAUCAUGUCAAAGGUAUGAGUCGACGUAACAUUUUAUUUUACUUUUUCCCUAGUUUUUUCGUUCCUUUUUAAUAAAAAAUUAGAAAAUUUUAAAAUAAAAGAUGGGAUAUGAAGAGGUACAUACCUAGGUGUAUAACCAAAACAAUCAAUAAUUUGCCAUAAUAUCCCUAAAUAAUUCCUUAGGUGCUGCAGUUGAAAGUAUAAUAAACUCAUGAGAAAAGGGUAACCCUGUAAAUCUCUCAUAUUGUUCAUAUGCCUGCCCUAUAAACAUCUCCACCCCUGUUACAACUAACGCACCACAUUCUCCUGCUUCCCGAAGCAACCUCGUAAUUUUUGGUGUGUAAACAGCAUCGAAUACCAGUGCGUAUGACUUCA